GACGAACGCUGGCGGCGUGCUUAACACAUGCAAGUCGAACGGAAAGGUCCUGCUUUUGUGGGGUGCUCGAGUGGCGAACGGGUGAGUAUCACGUGAGUAACCUGCCCUGGACUUUGGGAUAACUUUAGGAAACUGGGGCUAAUACCUGAUAGGAGCUCCUGCUGCAUGGUGGGGGUUGGUAAGUUUCGGCGGUUGGGGAUGGAUUCGGGGCUUAUCAGCUUGUUGGUGGGGUAGUAGCUUGCCAAGGGUUUGACGGGUAGCCGGCCUUGGCGGAUGACCGGGUUCAUUGGGACUGGGAGACGCCACAGGCGAGUACCUUAAGCAGAAGUGGGAAAUAUUGCACAGUGGCCAGGAGCCUGAUGCAGCAACCCCACGGGCGGAAAAGCACCCUGCUGGUUAAGAACCACUUUCGCAUGUAACGAACAGUUCGUGACGGUACUAGGUAAAGAAGCACCGGCUAACUACGUG
rnacentral:rRNA from 1 species